UGAGCAAUCUGCCCUUCUCAUGGGAAUAAGCGUUGGAAACGACGUCUAAUGCCGAAUACGACCUCCUUUCGCAUGAUCGGAGGUGGAAAGCUCCGGCGGAGAAGGAUGAGCUCGCGGCCUAUCAGCUAGUUGGUGUGGGUAACGGCCCACCAAGGCGACGACGGGUAGCCGGCCUGAGAGGGUGACCGGCCACACUGGGACUGAGACACGGCCCAGACUCCUACGGGAGGNAGCG
rnacentral:rRNA from 1 species